rnacentral:lncRNA from 1 species
CUGAAUGUGCCAUCCAAGCUCCCACAACAGUCGCCUUCCGGGUCUGUGUGUGGCAGUUCCUGGCGUAAAUAUUGAUACCUGAUUUUAACCCUGUACAGUUGUUGCAAACAUCACAUAAUUUUAUCUGUUUUUGUUCCUGUAAAUACACAAAGUUUGUUAUUUUUAACUUGGCGUGUACUGGUUGACACACGCGCACAGUAUAUUUGCGUUAUGGAAUUUCCCACUGCAGAUUAAUCACAUAGAAGAAGUAGAAGUA